GAUGAAGAACGCAGUGAAAUGCGAUACGUAGUGUGAAUUGCAGAAUUCAGUGAAUCAUCGAAUCUUUGAACGCACAUUGCACAUCUCGGUAUUCCGGGAGGUAUGCCUGUUCGAGCGUCAUUUGUACCCUCAAGCUCUGCUUGGUGUUGGGUGUUUGUUCCGCCUCUGUGUGUGAACUCGCCUCAAAACAAUUGGCAGCCGGCGUACUUGUUUCGGAGCGCAGCACAUUUUGCGAUCCAGAUCAACGUACAGCGGCAUCCAAGAAGCCUUAUUUAACGCUCUUGACCUCGGAUCAGGUAGGGAUACCCGCUGAACUUAAGCAUAUCAAUAAGCGGAGGA
rnacentral:misc_RNA from 1 species